ACUGUUGUUUAAAUGUAAAAAAUAAAAUGUGUGGACGUUUAUGCUCAGUAUUUUACUUUUCAGGCCGAUAACCCAAAACCUUCAGCAGGAAAUAUGAUUUAAAUAAAAAAACAUGAGCUGAAAGAGGAAGGAGGUUUCUUUUCCUGGAACACAGAGUACUGAACAGUUGCUGCUGUCGCUUCUAGACAGGAAAAGGUUAUUAUACCCUCUGGAUUGAGAGAGCAAUUAAGCAUUACCUCUUCAGUCAGUACAGAUGAGCAGCAGGUCAAUUGUGUUCGAGGAGGCAGAGGAAAACUUCUGGCAGCUGCGCCCCUCUUAUCUUCCCCUGUACAGUCAAUAAAUCAAUACCAAAUCUAAGGAACAGGAAGCCAGAUGGCCUCCCUGCAACCUCUCCAGGCCAGGCCGCUCUCAGGGCCUCCUCGGCUACUGUAGCGCCGCUGCAUGCACCGCUCCUUUGAAGGCAUACACAUUCAACAAGCGGCUCAAUGAAUGACUAAAGGGAACAAAUAAGCUGUUACGACUCCGCUCAAAUCAGUGUUUGUGUUUCCAUCCACAUCAAAGG